UUUAUUUUGGUGUGACGAUGUGACUUCAUAGGAGUGCGCCGCGCUCCUGCGUUUGUGAUACAGCGCGAGCAAUGUAAAGCGAAUGAAUGAUUAUUGAGUGUAACACUUUAAUGCCUUAUCUAACGUCAACGAGCGAUAUUUCUGUGAGUGAUAUGCAUCCACACAAAAACUCCUGGUUCAGCUGAGAUCUCGUGACACACUAUUAUAAAGAUGGCGUUUAUUAAAGAGGAGAGUGAAGACAUAAAGAUUGAAGAAGCAUUCAGUGUGAAACAUGAAGAUACUGAAGAACAAACAGACCUGAUGCCACUGAAAGAGGAGAGUCAAGAACUGAAUAACGUGGAAGUGAAAGAUGAGAAACAUGAUUUCACGAUUGGAGAAAAAUCCACACCGACUGAAAUUACUUGCUCACAAAAAGGAGCCCAGAAGACCAAAUCUAGAAAGUAUUACACCUGCAGUCAGUGUGAAAGGAGUUUCGAUCAUAAACGAAACUUUGAAGUCCACAUGAGAAGUCACACUGGAGAAAAGCCUUUCACAUGCCAAGAGUGUGGAAAAAGUUUCAGUCAAAAACAAAAUCUCAACGUCCACAUGAGAAUUCACAAUGGAGAAAAACCUUUCACAUGCCAAGAGUGUGGAAAGACUUAUACAUAUAAAGGAAACCUUGAAGUCCACAUGAGAGUUCACACUGGAGAGAAGCCUUACACCUGCAAUUACUGUGGGAAGAGUUUCGCUCAAAAUGGAAACCUUGAGGUUCACGUGAGGCUUCACACUGGAGAGAAGCCUUUCACAUGUAUUCAGUGUGAAAAGAGUUUCACAUAUCAUAGAGACCUGAAACGCCAUUUGAAGACUCACUCUGGAAAGAAAUUGCAGUGCUCUGAAUGUGGCAUGAUGUUUACGAAAACGAUAAGUUUAAAAAAUCACCUGCGCCUUCACUCUGGGAGAAGACAGUUUAAUUGUGAUGAUCAGUGUGAUGAUAAAAAAAAGGCUUUUGCCAUCAUCACACUUACAGAUACACCUAAUAAGUAAUGCGGAUAUGAGACCCUAUUAGUGUUUGUUUUUGUUUUAAAUGGCUGAAAAUAAGUUUCUGUGUAAAAUUAAGAUUAUGAACACACUACUACUUGACUGUCGACCAAAUCUGACUGUCCACAUUCAUGACAAUUUCUUUUAUUUGCAUUUUUCACCUCUUUAUACUUUGCCUUGAAGCUAUUUACUUUCUUUUGUUGUACAUAUGAACUGCUGUGGCCACACAUGACCACCUCCUUUGCUAGAGUUUCAUAAUAUUCCAUGUAACAGUUAAAAGAUUGAGUGAUAGUUGUAGACAGCCUCUAAUUUUGAUUGUUUGGAGGCUUGCACAAUUUCAUAUAUUGAUAUAUUAGUUAAACUUAUGUCUUUCUGUGAAAUGCCAUAAUGUAAAUGAAAGAUUUUAAAUAAAACGACAUAGACUGAAAGAAA